UACGGAGGGUGCAAGCGUUGUUCGGAAUUACUGGGCGUAAAGCGCGUGUAGGCGGCCUUGAAAGUCCCGUGUGAAAGCCCUCGGCUUAACCGGGGAACGGCGCUGGAAACUUCAAGGCUGGAAUACGGGAGAAGUGAGCGGAAUUCCUAAUGUAGCGGUGAAAUGCGUAGAUAUUAGGAGGAACACCGGUGGCGAAAGCGGCUCACUAGCCCGAUAUUGACGCUAAGACGCGAAAGCGUGGGUAGCAAACAGG
rnacentral:misc_RNA from 1 species